rnacentral:tRNA from 2 species
GCGGAAGUGGCGGAACUGGCAGACGCACCAGCUUGAGGGGCUGGCGCUCGCAAGAGCGUGGGGGUUCGAAUCCCCCCUUCCGCACCA